rnacentral:lncRNA from 1 species
AUUCGGCCAAAUCCUUAGGGUGACUUUUUGGGUUCAUGUUUGUCUUGUUAAAAUGGUUUUAAGGUGAUUUUUGGAACCCCUAAGUACCCUAGGAUAUUAGCCCUCUUUUGAGUGGUGAAAAAUUGAGUUUUGGUGAAUGAAAACAUCCAUGGAACUAUUAUGAGUUUUCAUGGUGUUCUUCAAAUGUUCUUGAAGUUCUUGCCAAGAACAAAAAGGUUUGAAGUUUUGAUUCUAAAUUUUUAUGUUUUUCAUAAAGUUUUGGUAUAUAAUUGAUUUAUUAUUUGAUGGGUGAUGUUAUUGGUGAGAUGUGAUGAAAUGGUUUUAAUGUUUGUCAUAAACUUUAAGUUUUUCUUACAAACCAUCACCUUCACCUUUAACCUCACCUAAUAAAAUCAACUUGCAAAAACUUUUUAGAAAUUUUUUCAAUUUUUCAUUAAAUGCCCGGCCACCCCUAGUGGGGGUCCUUUUGGGGCCUUUUGUGCAAUUAACAUAAAGUUUUGAUACUUUUGUGUUUUUGCAUUUUGGCCCAAAAGUUUACGUUUUUACGUUUAGGCUUAAAAACUCUAAAGGACAAAUUGUUUUCAUCCUUUAAUGAUGUUUUUACAUUAUUAAAAUUUUGGGAUCUAGUUGUAUUUACAUGAAGUUGUGGACUAUUGUGUUUAUACAAAGUGACCCCAAAAGUUUUUGUAUUUGCAUUAUGGCCCAAUUGUUGUGGUCAUAGUUUCCUUUUGGCCCAAAUAAAAUGAGAACAAAAUUGUUUUGUCUCUUUAAUGAGAAUUGGAAUAUCAUUUCAUUUAGUUCCAUUUAAAUCAAUUCUAUGGAUCCAAAAACCAAUUGUUUAAAGUUGCUUUCUUAGUUAAUGUGAUUGAUUAAGAAAAGGGUGAUUAUGAACCAAAGGCCUCGAUAAUUGAGCUAUGUGAUUGGCCGCUUUACAUUAUGAAUGUUUGGGUUUGGUAGUGUAGAUUUGAAUGUAAUUUGAUUAAUUCGAAUUGUUGUAAAUGGACAUAAGUCCAUCAUUUGAUUUAUGUUGUAAAAGGGCAUAAGCCCUUAUUAUUAUUUCAUG